GUUCCCCGGUUCCCCCGGGGCGGGGCCGUCCCGUCGCGUCCCGUCGCGUCCCGGGUGGAGCCCCCCCCCCCCCCGCCGCCAUGGCCGCGCCGCCGCCGCCCGCCCGCCGGUGCCCGCCGGUGCCCGCCGCCGAGCCUCUCCUCUUCCUGGCCACCCUGGCCCUCGGCCUGCAGGGCCCGCUCGCCACCCAGUACCUCUGGGACCGGCUGGGGACCGAGCGCGGCUACAGCGGCCCCAACGCCAGCGGCCCCGCCGGCUGCGGGAACGGCAGCGCCGGCGAUGAGCCCCUGCGGCAGGAGGUGGAAGCGCUGGUCUCCCGCUGGAACCUCUAUAUCAACCUGGGCGGCUUCUUCGUGGGUCUCUUCUCCGUGACGCUCUUGGGGCCGUGGAGCGACAGCGUGGGCCGCCGCCCGGCGCUUGUCCUGCCGGCACUGGGGAUGGCCGUGCAAGCGGCCGUCUACCUCCUCGUCAUGUACCUGCAGCUGCACGUCGCCUACUUUCUCCUCGGGCGCCUCGUGAGCGGCCUCCUGGGCGACUACAACCUGAUCCUGGCCGGCUGCUUCGCCCACGCGGCCGACACCAGCGACCCAGGCGGGCGCACGUUCCGCGUGGCUGCCCUCGAGGCGUGCCUCGGCGUGGCGGGCAUGCUGGCCAGCGUCGGCGGCGGCCAGUGGCGCAAGGCGCAGGGCUACAUCAACCCCUUUUGGCUGGUGCUCGCCGCCAGCCUCGCCGCCGCGCUCUACGCCGCUUUCUGUCUGCAGGAGUCGGUGAAGGAGCCGAAACCAGCCAAGCUGUUCACGCUCGGGCAUUACAGGGCUGUCUGCAGGCUGUACACGGCCCCGGAACACCUGAGCUCCAGGAGGAAGCUCGCUCUUUACUCCCUGGCUUUUUUUCUUCUUGUCACUGUACAUUUUGGAACCAAGGACCUCUUCGUUUUGUACGAGCUUGGCUCCCCUCUCUGCUGGGCUGCUGACCUCAUUGGGUACGGCUCAGCCGCCAGCUACCUGGCUUACCUGAGCAGUCUGGGAGGGCUGCGGCUGCUGCAGCUCUGCCUUGGAGACACCUGGGUGGCAGAGAUGGGCUUGAUCUCCAAUAUUUCAGGACUGGUGGUGAUUUCUCUUGCUACGACAACACCGCUGAUGUUUACAGGUUAUGGGAUUCUGUUCCUUUCCAUGGCAGCUACUCCAGUCAUACGAGCCAAGCUCUCCAAGCUGGUCAGUGAGACGGAACAGGGUGCUCUUUUUGCUUCUGUUGCCUGCGUGGAAGGGCUGUGUUCACUUGUGGCUACAGGAGUGUUCAACUCUCUCUAUCCUGCCAGCUUGCACUUCAUGAGGGGCUUCCCGUUUCUCUUCGGGGCUAUAAUUCUUCUUAUUCCAGCAGCUAUUAUUGGGUGGAUAGAAAUCUGGGACUCGAAGCAGGACUACAGUCACUUCUCAGGUGCUUCCCUGUCCGCUGCAGAUGGCUCAGCAGCAACUUAGCAACAAGGAAUUGGCCAGCUCGGCAGUGUCCAUCUGAAGACUGUGCUUUAUUCUUCCCUUGGAGGACAAAUUAGAGUGGGAGGGGCACCUUGCUUGUCCUUACUAAUUUUUUAAUGCCAAAUAGUUGGAAAUCAUGGCUCUGGCUACCAGUAGGAACUUGAUUUGCAGAUGUGGAUGCCUCCUCACCAUUGUGUUGGCUCAUCUGUCAGAGAAAACUCAGGACCCAAAAGCCGAUCAAGAGUAAAAGUUAUUGUUGCCCAUUUGCAAGGCUGGUUAGUGGUUUGGUGGGAAGAGAAGGUUCUGUGGCAUGCUUUUAGUGGUGAGAGAAGACUGAAUUCCGGUUUAAUUGCCAAACAUGUUCACCUCUGAGUACUACAGUGUGCAGCAGAUGAGGUGGUGGUUUGAUUGAGGCUCACACAAAAGCCUGCAGAGUGAGACUGAAGCAGAGAUACCCAACAGCAUGCUGCUGAGGAGAAAGAUUGCUCUCCAAAACAGCGUGUUGUCAAUAAAAGUCAUACAAAUGUCACAUGCCAGACUAGGUUCCUGCAGAAAUCCUUACGAUGAGUGGUAGUUUACCACGGGAGUGCUAUUGCCAUCCUUAUUGACCAAACUCGCUGUGUGCUUCGCAAGUCAGAGGUGUCCAAGGGAGAGAAUCUAAUGCAUGAAGUGCUUGUAGUGAGCAGUGCCAGUGGUGUGUCCUGCCUGGCUGUCUGCAGCUCACCCGGGAUUGCAAAGACUCCAUGGACACCAAUGCUAGCAGCUGCUCAGUGUUGUGCAGCGAAGUGGAACUUGUGCACUGGCCCUGCUUUCCUGUUUGUGUCAGUGUGCUUGCAAAGGAGAAAUUCAAUAGGAACUAUUAUGCUCUAUUAAAAAAAUAAAACCAAAGUUUUUCUAGGCUGUCCUCCAAGAACUACAACCAUGAAGCAAAGACAUGAUCUGUGCAUCGUGGCUAUGGGCAGCAGGCAGAGUCCCUGGGGAUGCUGUGAGCUAUGUCAGUCCAUGCAAAGAUGAGUGUGAAGUGUGGGUCCCCACCGAGAAUGGUGCCUGGAGAAUGUCAAUUCUGCUGCCCCUUCAGAGGAUGAGAGAGCGUGAUGGCAAGAGAGAGCAAGCGUGAGAAGGCUGCAGGGAAAGAAGCAUGUGACACAAAGAGAAAAGAGGUAGGGAUUUAGCAUGUAAACAAGAUUUAUUAAUAAUGACUGAUAGAACAACUUUAAACACUCUCUGACAUGACAUAACAAAGGAAUAAGGAAGGGUGCAAACAGAAGAAUUAAUUUCCUUGAGACUGUGCUCCAACAGGAAGGGGCUGGGUAUGGGAUGUUUUGUCAAGAGCAGGGUGAGUUCAUUAAGGUGAAGAUAACUGGAUUAUGGGGAGACGAAGAGUCACAGCCUGGGCAGCCAAAGCAUGAGAUGGGAUCUUACUGUAGGUGAGACACCUAAGCUGCAGGGGACAAGUAAAUCUCUAUGUUGAAUGGUGGGUGAGGGGGUUAAUUGCUAGAGAGAUCCUGGGAAACAAGACACAAGAGUCUUACUGUGUAUUAUUGUAGGGAGAAAAAUCCUUAGUACUGUUUGUGUGGGACUCCUUCAGCGGCUAUGGAGGCCUUGACAUUCAAUCAGCUAUUCAAGACUUUUCCCUGAAGCAGCUCACAAGUGGCUUUUAUCCUUUGGCAGAUUCACCUUUGGGCUCAUCUACUGGCUUCCUCAUGUUUAAUCUGGAGAUUAGAUAGAUUCUAUUUCUGAUGAAUGCUGGGUAGAUACAGCUAUUAACCUUUCACUGGAGAGCAAAGAUGCCAUUAACUGUGAGUUGAUAAGAUUUAUCCAUAAAACUGUGAUUAAGCAUGAGAAUUUAACUUUUUUUUUUUUUUUUCUCAGAUGUUCAUGGAUCUAAGCCAAAAGAAAAUGUGGUUAUGUUCCUGACAGUUAAGGCAGGCAGCAAGGCUUCAGGGAGAGCCACGAGAAGGACAAAGUGGCUGAGACUCCUCAUUACUUCCUGAAAGGGUUGAGGUGUCCUGAGCAGGGACAGGCAAGGGGCUUGCUGCUUCUGCAGGCUGGUGGUCUGAGCGUGCCUUACUCUUCCUCCUCUGUGUGCUCUGAACAAGGAUGUCUUUUUGCAUUACUCGCUUUGCUCUGCAUCAAAACAGACAAACUCAAGUAGGAGCUGCAAUUUCUGGGCCUAAUUGCCAAAUGGCAUGCUGUGGAGAGCCUGCUCACCCUCCAAGUGGGUGUGAGAAGCAGGACAAGGCUGGGAGUGCAGGUUUCAGGGGAGGUGUGUCAGGGUGCCUGUGGUUCCUCACCUGCAGCGCGAGCAGCCGGUGCUGCCAGUCCUGCUCCCAGCCAGUGCUCACACCGAGCACCCUCCGCCUCUGCCCUUUGCAUUGACUUUGCUCUUUCUGGGCAUUUCAAGGUGAGUAGCUGCAAAAAGACCCAGUGGAUGUUGAGAAGAGGUCAGUUGAAAGAAAUAAAUGCUACUUGGCAUUUCAUCCAGCAGAGAGUAUGGACAACACUGAGCCCGAGGACCAUAGCAGAGCUGUCAGGGGUGAGCAGUAGUGAGCAAGGAGAUAAGUCAGCUCCUGUUUGGAUGAACAGCCCACGGGAGAUCUGCUGUGGAGUGCAAACAACAGAAUAAAAUACAGCCAGUGUAUAACAACUCCACAAGUACAGUACGGCAAUUAGUGUCUUCUGCAUCUGCACAGAUAUAUGUUUUUCAGAGUCACAAGCCAGCCUCCUAUGCCCUGUAAGUACAGACCUGAUAAAGUGGUAAAGCUGAGACAUCAGAUGGAGGGAAGGGGGUUGGUUUUCUUUCACUUUUUGCAAAGAUCCUGCAGAAACUUCACAUGAUCUUACCUCAAACUUCCAUCACCAGAGUUAAAAGCACAAAGUGGUUUUGCAGCAUUAGGAGGUGAAAGGCCCUCAAGGAGGGAGUGAGCUGUAGUGAUAAGGGGCUGUUCCUGGGAAAGAGAAAGCUGCUGCUGAGCAGUUUAGAAGGCCUCUGUGUGUUAUCUUUCCCAAACAUGGGGAUUUCGUUAGGGCUUAAGUUUUAUUUGCACUUUCCUGCUCUCAGCUUCUGACCACAAUGAUUCCUGCAGCACACAGCAGAGGCCAUAUGAUGCUUAUGGACUGUUUCAACUGCUCUCUCACAGGUCUUCUUGUGAUGUACCCCUCACAAAUUCCUCAGUUUUCAGUCUUCAGAAGAUCCUUCCUCUUUGGAUAUGUUUCUGAGGGAAGCUGCAGCAAUUUGCAGGAGUCUGGACCGUGUUGGUCUCCUCACACCCCUUGCAUUGCACGAGAUAUAGCCAGCAUGUCCUGCUACCCCAGGAGAGGGUGUGGAAGACAACUCAUCAAGCCCAGAGCCCACCCUGGCUUGGCUCACCAGGGCUUGCAUUUGGAGGGUGAAGGGGGGCUAAUGAGCCACAGGCCUUGUCUCAAGCCAGGGUACUAAGAUGGGGAAAAAUCUAGAGGGAGAAAUUUGGCCCCACAUAAAAAGGGGUCACCUGGGAAGUCUCUGGAGGGGACAAGGCAGCUGUGCUGGUUCUAGGUCUGUCCCAGGGAGGGCAAGCAGUCCAGGCCAUU